rnacentral:pre_miRNA from 1 species
GCCCUUUCAACGUCGCACCGCUGUGAGCAGAGCGAGCAGUGCAAUGUUGAAAAAGGGCAU